CAACCGCCAUAAAACCUCAAACAAGAAGAAGGGAUCUUUAAAAAAAAAAAAAGAAAGAAAAUAAAACUACCCUGGUGUGACGUCAGACGCCGAAAAGGUGGCCACGUGCAUCAACUCCUGUAUAAAAACGCAGCAAGGCGCUCCAGGAUGGCGUGUUUGACCUGGUCCAGAUUGGUGGCCUGUCCAGAAUGAUUGAUCUUCAUGAAGAUUGUCAAAUAUCUUUCCAGCCCUUUUCUUCUCUCUUUUCCUCUCUGCUCCUCCUUUUCUUUCUCCCCCCCUCUCUUUGUUGUUUACUUUCUGCCACUUCUUCAAGCAGAGCAAUUCUGCCGGAGUCCAUCCAGGUCUUUGGUCUGCAGAGGGAGGGAGAGCUGCAGUGAUGAGCAUUCCUGUUGUCUCUGAGGUGACUGCGACAUAGAGGAGCCAGUGAAAGCAGCAGUGGACCUCACAGUUGACUCACGCUGGCAUGUACGAUGUAUGAUAGUGUGACAGAAAUACAUAUAUUGUGAUAUACUGUAUACAAGGUGAUAUGGAAACAGUCUACAUUUGUCUUUGUCAAACUCGUGUUGGAGGUUUAAAUACUACACAAAACACUGUCACUGUCAAGAAUAUCUCUAUAUAGCUAUACAGCACUUUAAAGCACUGAUACA